UUAGGAAUCUUGCGCAAUGGGCGAAAGCCUGACGCAGCAACGCCGCGUGGGGGACGAAGGCUCUCGGGUUGUAAACCCCUUUCAGUAGGGACGAAUCAAGACGGUACCUACAGAAGAAGCCCCGGCCAACUACGUGCCAGCAGCCGCGGUAACACGUAGGGGGCAAGCGUUGUCCGGAUUUAUUGGGCGUAAAGAGCUCGUAGGCGGUUCGGUAAGUCGGGUGUGAAACCUCCAGGCUCAACCUGGAGACGCCACCCGAUACUGCUGUGACUCGAGUCCGGUAGGGGAGCGUGGAAUUCCUGGUGUAGCGGUGAAAUGCGCAGAUAUCAGGAGGAACACCAGCGGCGAAGGCGGCGCUCUGGGCCGGAACUGACGCUGAGGAGCGAAAGCGUGGGUAGCAAACAGG
rnacentral:rRNA from 1 species